rnacentral:rRNA from 1 species
AGUGAACGCUGGCGGUAGGCCUAACACAUGCAAGUCGAACGGCAGCACAGUAAGAGCCUGCUCUUACGGGUGGCGAGUGGCGGACGGGUGAGGAAUACAUCGGAAUCUACCUUUUCGUGGGGGAUAACGUAGGGAAACUUACGCUAAUACCGCAUACGACCUACGGGUGAAAGCAGGGGAUCUUCGGACCUUGCGCGAUUGAAUGAGCCGAUGUCGGAUUAGCUAGUUGGCGGGGUAAAGGCCCACCAAGGCGACGAUCCGUAGCUGGUCUGAGAGGAUGAUCAGCCACACUGGAACUGAGACACGGUCCAGACUCCUACGGGAGGCAGCAGUGGGGAAUAUUGGACAAUGGGCGCAAGCCUGAUCCAGCCAUACCGCGUGGGUGAAGAAGGCCUUCGGGUUGUAAAGCCCUUUUGUUGGGAAAGAAAAGCAGCAGGUUAAUACCCCGCUGUUCUGACGGUACCCAAAGAAUAAGCACCGGCUAACUUCGUG